CACAGCCGCUUAUUCUCACAGCACAGCCGCUUAUUCUCACAGCAGCUUUUUUUAAAAGCAUAGCAAUACCAAACCAGCCAACCAUGGAAGCAAUUGGCCAUGUCCACUAUAAGAAUUUAUUGAGGUUGCUUGGUUAUUCAGCUAAAAGAGCUCUUGAUAUUCAUUUGUUAAAUCUUUGUAUACCUUCGAGUUUCGGUCUUUUGCUAAGUUGUGUUUUUGUCUAAUGCUUUAGGUUCAUGGUAAUAAAGCUGCAAUAUUUACAAUCACCACCUUUUAAUUCUUUCCGUUUUUUCAAGUUCUAAGAUUAGUACAUAUUUAUGUUUUUUUUUAUCUUUCAGAUUUAUGAAUAAGGAUCAAUAAAUAGUUAAUUUUUUUUUUAUUAUUGCAGAGUUAUUAAAUAUACAUAUUUACCCUUUAUAUUAAAAAAUAAUAAUAAUUUGGGGUUAUUGAAAUCAGUGAUGGAAAAUCUGCCAAAGUCUGAGAAAAUUGAAGAUUUCAGUAUUCAAAUUCUAGGUUAUCUUAGACUUUAUGGUUGUACAUUCUACAACAACUAUAUAUGAGUUUUUAUUUUCAAUUUGUGUUCAUUUGAACGAAACCGUAACAGUUUGGUUUAGCAGCUUAUAAAUAUGUCCAAUGCCAUAUUAUUUUCAAAACUUCCAUUUUACAAAACGCAUGCAUUAUGGAGGGGAGGAACUUGAGAUGAAGCUUACAGGCACGCCCUACCAAGAAAAAUCAGAGAUCUUAGCAAUGGACGGUCUUUGGAGAUUCUCAUUAAUCGCUUCAGAAAUGAGUGCCCGAAUCCCGAUUCAAAUUGCUUCAACUCACCAAAAUGGCAAGAGAUUCUCACCUUUCGAAGAGCGAGCCAUGUGCGUUGAUUAGGUUUCAUGACUAAUACUACAAGUUCUACUUCAAGAUCAGCAUACGCACAUUUGCAAAUACCAAGAUCAUUAUUUAUCUAUGCUGAAACAAAGCAAACGCACAAAAGUUUGAUAAGGUGCUAUAAAAUUGCCGGAAAAAGGUCAUCUCCAAUUCAUGCAAAGCCGCAUUCCUUUCCAUGCAUAAAAACACUAGGAUGCUUCCUUGACAAUCAACACUACCAGAGGAAAACUUAUAGUGGUGCAGUAUAAGCAACUUUUGUCAUAUUUUUGUUAUUCUGAAAACUUCCCAACAUUUUCAAUAUAAGUAGUUUUAAUCUUCUAUGGUGUA